CCGCGGCCCCGGAGCGGUAACGGCCGGCAGGGCGUCCUGGGGGCGCAGCAGGUUUUACUUCUGAUAUCCUCAGAUAGGACCUACGAAAAAAGUUGACCUGGAAUUUAAAAACUGGAGGCGGGAUAAUGGUAUCGUCAGUCAGCAAGAAACAGAACAAAAAGUCCUUAAUUUUGAAAGACAUGAUUAAAAAUGGGUAUGGAGGGCUGAGGUGAAGAUUUCGAGCAUGUAAUAGGGGGCUCACAACUGCUUGCAACUCCAGUUGAAGAGGAUCCUAUGCUUUUCCGGCCUCUGUGGGUACCAGGAGCACACAUGGUGUACGUGAAAAAAUAAAAAUAAAAAAUUUAA